AGCGCCAUAGCUCAGUGGUACAGUAUCUGCUUUGCAUGCAGAAGAUCCCGGGUUAAACCAGGUGGGGCUG